rnacentral:rRNA from 1 species
AUUGAACGCUGGCGGCAUGCCUUACACAUGCAAGUCGAACGGCAGCACGGGAGCAAUCCUGGUGGCGAGUGGCGAACGGGUGAGUAAUGUAUCGGAACGUGCCUUGUCGUGGGGGAUAACGUAGCGAAAGCUACGCUAAUACCGCAUACCAUCUAGGGAUGAAAGCGGGGGGUCGCAAGACCUCGCGCGACAAGAGUGGCCGAUAUCAGAUUAGGUUGUUGGUGGGGUAAAGGCCUACCAAGCCGACGAUCUGUAGCUGGUCUGAGAGGACGACCAGCCACACUGGGACUGAGACACGGCCCAGACUCCUACGGGAGGCAGCAGUGGGGAAUUUUGGACAAUGGGCGAAAGCCUGAUCCAGCAAUGCCGCGUGCAGGAUGAAGGCCUUCGGGUUGUAAACUAGCUUUGUUACAGAACGAAACAAGUCUCUCCUAAUACGGGGGCGAAUGACGGUACUGUAAGAAUAAGCACCGGCUAACUACGUAGCCA